rnacentral:tRNA from 1 species
GGGGCUGAAGACUCAGUGGUAGAGCACGUGCUUUGCAUGCAGAAGGCCCUAGGUUCAAUCGCCAGCAUCUCCA